rnacentral:rRNA from 1 species
UACGUAGGGUGCGAGCGUUGUCCGGAAUUAUUGGGCGUAAAGGGCGCGUAGGCGGCAAUUCAAGUCAUCUGUGAAAUCUCCGGGCUUAACUCGGAACGGUCAGAUGAUACUGCUUUGCUCGAGUGCGGAAGGGGCAAUCGGAAUUCUUGGUGUAGCGGUGAAAUGCGUAGAUAUCAAGAGGAACACCUGAGGUGAAGACGGGUUGCUGGGCCGACACUGACGCUGACAGCGCGAAAGCCAGGGGAGCAAACGGG